rnacentral:tRNA from 1 species
UGGACGUUAGUCUAAAAAAAGACAAUUAAUUUCGACUUAAUAAAUCCAAAACUUUACUUUGGACGCCCAU